GCCCCCGUGGACGAACGGUUUAAGUCGCUGUUCUUUCAAAGCAGAGAUUGCGGGUUCAAAUCCCGUCGGAGGAA
rnacentral:tRNA from 1 species